CUCGGCUUCCCGCUCUUGCCUCACUCUCAGCGGCUGCCUUCGCCCCUGUCUGCAGACAGCGCCGCUGGAUGCUCCCAGCUGGACUUCAACCCCACUCCUCUCAGUCCCUCUCCCCACUGCCUUCCAGACGCGCCUCUUCCCCGCCCCGCGCCCCUCUCUCCUCUCCCACCCCUGCCCCUCUCCGCGGCGCUCACCCUCCUCAGUCCCAGUUUCUGAAAGGACUCAGCUGAGAAAGGACAACUGGGUUCCGCUUUCCUUAACCCUACACCCUUUAGCUGGAUGCUGUCAGAGGCGAUGGAGAAACGCAAAGGCUACUAGACGCAACAAUAGAAUUACCAUAUUGUUUUUCCUGGUUUGAAAGGACCAGAUGGAAAGAAACUGGGCAAGCCAAUGAAAGUCUCUGGGGAUCAUGGGAAUUGAGUGUCUAUGAAAACCAUAUUCCAGACAAGAAUAUAGUCUAAGGACACAGCAAGAGGCAACAUUUUGGAAGCAGAGGGCAACUCUCACUGGAAACCAAAUCUCCUGGCACCUUGAUCUUGGAUUUUACAGCCUCCAGAACUGAUAGCUGGGAGGCAUUACAUAGUCAUGUGCGAGGUCAAAACUGAGUCACCACCACAACCAAGUUCCAGCUGGCAAGAAGAGGAAAAAUAACACAGAGGAGUUAUGACCAGUGUUGUAAGGAUCUGGCCUAGAAAUGGCAUGCAUCUCUUCCACUAAUAUCCUAUUGGUAAAAAUGUAGUCACAUGGGCACACCACCUAUCUGCAUGGAAGGCUGGGAAAUGUUGAUCGGUAGGGCAGCCAUAUGUGUAGGAAGGAGAAAACAGAAUUUGGUGGAUACCUAGUAGUCUCUGCCAUACCCUUGACCAGAAAUUUUUCUUCUAAAGAAUUUAAUUCUAAAAGUUAUAGACAUUCCCAAAGAUAUACCUGCAAGCAUCACAGCUUUGUGUAUAAUUGCAAAAGUUGAAAUCAACAUGAAUGCCCAAAAUAGUGAAUUAUUUAAACAGAUUAUUACCCAUAUUAUGAAGAAAUACUCUGCAACUCUUAAAAAUAAAUGUAAUGUGCCAGGCGCAAUGGGAUAUGCCUGCAGGCCCAGCUACACGGGAGGCCAAGGCAGGAGGAUCACUUGAAAUCAAGAGUUCAAGUCUAGCCUAGACAACAUAGUGAGACUUGGUCUCUAAAAAAGAAAAAAAAAAAUAAAACUGAUGUAAUGAAUAUAUAAUUACAACAAAAGAGGUCUAACACUAUAGUAGAAAAGUUUGGGGCACUCAUCCCAUUCAUAAUUAUUUUACAUUUAAAUUACUGUUCCUACUUAAGUGGUGAGCUUGGUAACCAUUUUCAUAUCAGGUGAUACUGCUGCAGUAAUCAUAGCUGUUUGAAUCAGGAAUAAUCCCAAUCACAUUUUCUCUUAAUCGUUUAUUAUACUGGGCAUUGGGGUUGCAAGAUAAUGCACAGUCCGAGCUCAAUACAUGUCUUCAUGUACCUGUAUGUAAAUCCCACUUUUAUUCUAAAAUUCUUUGAAUAUUUUGUUUCUUGGAACCCAAUGAUCCUAAGAAAAUUAUGUACUUUUAC
rnacentral:lncRNA from 1 species